rnacentral:tRNA from 1 species
AAGGAUUUAAGUUAAGCUAAACUCUUAGCCUUCAAAGCUAAAAAUAGAUUAUAUCUAAGCCUUA